rnacentral:misc_RNA from 1 species
CCAAACUUCAAGUUCAUAAAACCACUGCCUAAUCUUUACAAACACUGGAGUAAACGUUACUCAAAGCGAAAAGGGAAACCAGAAUCGAAAGGAAUCAAACUGCAUUAUUCACCCAUAGUUGCUAACUUCCCAGCAAACCAAGCAAAGAGCUUUCCCCACAUCAAAAUGAACCCACCCAAAUAAACAGAGACCAAAAGGAAAAAAAGAACAAAGACGACCAAUCAGAGCAACAAACCCACUAAGAAUUUACCCAGUUCCUACCCAAAUCCUUCUCAGAAUUCAGAACCUUUCGACCUUGUCGGCCUUCACCACAGGAUUGGCCGUGGCGAUCUCCUCCCGCCCAAUACUUUUGAAGUCGUAACAACAGUCGUGUUUCUCUGGGUACCGGUGAAUUCCACAGAAGGUUCGCUCGCACUUGCACUUGAAGCCCAUCAAUCCCACCUUCUUAUUGCAGCUCCGGCACCGGUUUGGAACAUCCGGUGACGGGGAUUUGUUGGAACUGCGGAGGGAGAUUCCAGUGGAAGAUGACGGUGAAGCUGAAUCCACUGUUGAAUCGGAGAAGACAACUGGAGAACUACCUUCAGCCGGCUUUAAAAUUUUGGACUGAAGGGAUUUCUCCAUCGCUGCUUUUGCUGAAGCCGCUUGCUCUUCUUUGAUUCGAGAGUCUCUGUAGCACUUCGAGCAGAGAUUCUCAGUACCGGCUGAACCAAAGAAGCCGCAGUUGUUCGCGCAGAGCUUUGGCUCCGAUGGCUGGUAGCUUGUGCCAUCGUUCUGCUCCGAACCCAUAGUUUUCGAACUCGUUUGGACUAAUUAGCUCUUAAGCCAGUAGAAGAUCGAAGGAACUCAAAACUCCAAAACCCUCCCUCUAGGAUACAAAUUAAAAUCAGGAAUUAGAAUAUAAUCAAAGAUUCAGAAAACCCUCAGGGCGAAUGAAGGAAAAGAGAAAGAAAG